rnacentral:lncRNA from 1 species
GGCGAGUGCGGGCCCGGCGGCCAAAGGCUCCUUCCCGACUGGCCCCCGCGGCUGUGUGACAACCUGUCGACACCGGUUUACAGCUGUCCGACACCGAGGUUUGCUGUUUCGCAGCUGAGGUGUAUCUGCUUUUUCACAAAAACAUCUUGGCGCCUGCUUUUCCACCGUCGGGGCUGCGGGGCAGGGGCUGGCCCGGGCUCGGUGACAGCCGGCGGGGAGCGGCCUCCCCUCCGAGGCCGGAGCUGCCUUUGCCUCCACCGGACGUCUUUGGCAGAAGUGCACCCCGGUGCCCUGGGUGCGCCACUAAGCUGCCGUGGCGUGACACCCCAACGCGGUCGUGGCGUCCCCGUGGCCCACACUAGGUAUUAACAGGUCGUCUGGCAAUGACCGACCUCGCUGCACUUGGAGAAGCGGGAAGCGGCUGAACGCUGCAUGUUUUUCCAACUGUGAAAACUUUGGGAAAGGGCAAACCAGCUGAGAGGCCACUGGCUGGGAAGAAGCAGAUGCAGUCUCCGCUGGCGGGUUCUUGGGGGUGGAGUGACCUUUUCUUUGCGCAGAAAGCAGCGUUGCAGCGGGAGAGAAACAUCCCUCCGCCGUCCUGGAGUUGGGAGAAGCCAACGUGGCCUGGGCGCCCCUCGUUGGUUCACUAGGUGUUCAGAGGCAGGAGGUAAACUUGUGUGGAGCACGCCGGCCCGAGGCGGCGCCGCGACCAGGCUAGGGGCCAGGCGUCCCUCUUCUCCUUCCAUCUCCUGUCUCCAUCCUCGCCCGGCCAGAAGAGCGAGCAGACGCAGCCUGGCGCGGUGUGCUCCAGAGCGGCUGCGGGUCGCUGGGGACCUGGCUGCGGCAGGGCGCAGAGGCCGGGUGCACGGUCCUCGUCGCCUCCCUGUGCCAGGGACAGCUCAGGCAGGCUGCUUCUGCGCUGUGCUCGCCGGCUUAGUCCUGGGGACACGGGUGCGGAGCGCGCUCAAGGUUAUCCGCUCGGGCUCCUGGGGCUACUUUGCGCCCCAUCCCCUACAGGGCAGGCAGAGCUCGGCGCGCACUCCUGCUCUCGCGUUCUGGAACUCUGGACCCCGCAGGAGUUUCAUCCGACGACGCUGGUGUUGGCCUCGGUUCGGGCCCGUUCUGGGCCGCAGGAUUAAGGCUGACCUUUGGGUCAGGUCCCCACCUUUACCUUGGACAUCGACCGUGUCCCCAUCCCCUCGGUCCCCCUCCAGUCCCCGGGACCAUGGAGGCCCAAGAACUCCUGCAAGCUCAGGAAGGCUCCCAUUUCCUCAUUUUGGGGCCUGAGGACAGACACGGAGCCACUGCCUAUAAUUAGCAACAAUAACGCCCAUAACAGUAAUUACUAAUUACCAGCUCCGUAAUCAGGCUUUAAUUUCUCUGCUCAGAGUCAGGGUUUCUUCCUGUUCAUGCUGUCCUCCCCCUUCAGACCCCCUCCCCCAAGCAGCCCCUGCUCACUCCAGAACUCCCCAGCAAGCCUGGAUUCCCUCCAUGCUUUGACAGAUUCUGGGGGCUGGAGGUGGGCCCUUGGCACUCCCGCUCCUGCUAAGUCCCUAACCGCAGCUUCCUCCUGCUCCCAGCCCACCACCCCGUACCCCCAACCCCCUCUCCCCUACACCCAAAACAAACCAAUGGGCCAGCCCCACCACUGUUCUGUUCAGCAAACUCCAGUGUCACAUUUCAGGGUGACAGGUAAACACCGGUGAGAUAAGCACUCUCAUGUGACCUGGAGAGAGAAGUGGAAUGUAAGCCCAGAGAAACUUAGUGUCAGGAUUCAGCCACACGGAUUGAUGGCCUCCUUCUCACUCCCUACCUGCAACAGUCUGCCUUGACUUCCCUGACACUGUAGCUAUCAGAAAGGGGGAGUGGAAUAGGGGCAGCAGGCUUUGUCCUGAUCCUCAUUCAGCCCCGCAAUGCCACCCCACUGCGCCCUGCCUGGAUCACCUCCAUUCGCGUCAUGAAAUGAUUGUAGGUUCCAGAAGCCACCAAGGAGCUCGCUACCUACGUCUCUGAAGAGGAGGAAGCUCAUGGCAGACCCGCCCCCCAACGUGGAGCCUUCCCGGGGACCUGCUUUGGCGCCAAGGACCAGAUCCUUCUCGGGGAUGCUGCGGGCGGCGCCCCGAGGCCUGGUCGCCGGCCUUUCAAAAUGGCCAUUAUUUGCUAUGCAGAUGACGGAGCUGCUGCGCGGGGCCGCAGCUCGGGGGCUGGACUGGGCGGCCUGACCCAUGCGCCCCCCGACCUCGGCCGGGCCCUCCAGUCCGACGUGCGCCUUGAUUCUGGGUCUUGUUAAAUACUCAUUAGGACCUUGCGCCUUUCUCCAGCAGGCCCGCUCGGCGACAGCGAGGCGGGAGUCAAACACUCCCUGGCGGCCGGCCGAGACCCGCGCCGGGGAGCGCCCAGCUGUAACGUGGACGCCCAUGGGCGCCAGGCCAGGGCCCUCUCCUGCCUCGCCAAGUCCGGGUCCACGUGGGGACGCCCCUAGUGCCUCCCGGCCGAGAGUGAGGACCAGGGAGCGCCCUGAGAGCACACGACUGCGUGGCCCCCGCAGCGAGAUGGGCGCGCCUUGGCGGAAGGAGCCGCGUUGAGCCUGCCGAGGGAGAAGGCACGGAGAGACUCCAGGAAAACCCGGGGAGGAAAAGGCCAGGAGCGAGGGAGGCGGGCGGUCAGAUGCUCAGGGCAGUGCCCUCAUGGCGGACAAUGCAAAGCGAGUGCCCCGGACGGAGGGCGGGCUUGGCUUCCCGGAACGCGGCCUGGGGGCGAAGUGCGGGGCCGCCCAGAGCUUUCCUAACCGGCCUGAGUUUCCCAAGAUCGAGGGGUCGAGAAAUAGACCGCAGUGACCCGGCGUGGAGUGCAGCGAUGUGGCCAUCCGUUUCCCCGGGGUCGGAGGAAGUGAAUUACAUGCGUGUGCACACACGUAAAUAUUUUAUAAACCUCCCUUAAUUAACCAGAUCAUUUCCAUUAUGCCUCCAAUAUGAUCAACAGCAACGUUGUGAGGGUUUUCAGGGUUUAUAAUUUGAUGUCACUAGACGGUUGCUCGGGGGCAGAGGUACAAUCGCCGCGCCAGCUGCACUUGUACUUAUUUGUUUUUCUACCGUGUUCCUGUAGGGUUCCAUUAUGCAAUUUUUAAUUAGUUUGUGUUUGUAUUUCACCCGUCCCAAAUCAACCCCAUCCCGGAGCAAGGCGAUGUAAAUUCUCGCAGUACAGGUGUCGCUGCCUGCUCCGGAACACUGGGAAACUCGUGUCUGACAAAUGAAAGCCGGGCGCCACGCAGCUGACUGUCAGCUCUCCGCAGCCGAGAGGCGCAGAUCAAAGCCAGCGGGGACUCCUGCGCCCCCUGAGCGCUGUCGGGGCGGAGGCUCCUAAUGCCAUUAGAGGGAGCCGGCCGAGCGCGGCGCGGGGGGACAAAGUGAGUUUUUAUUUUUCUCAAGUCCUGUGGUCCUUGGACCAGUGCUUGCCUCCCCAGCGCCUUGGGCUUGGGGCCUAGUGGACUCGGGGUGACACUGCGCGAGCCUCAGCCCUGACGCCUGGCUGUGCACCCGUGGGUGCCCAGAACCUAGGGUCUGAGAAAGAUCAUUGGGACUUCCUGCCGGGUUCCGCAAAGUCUUUCAAUAGAACCCAGAGCAGACAGCCAGAACUUCUGGAAUCUCCAGACAGGAGAACCCUCCCAGCCCCACUCCCCGCUCCCGCCCACCCCUGUGUUGUGUUGGCUGCCUCUUCCUUCUUGAAAUGACCUCUGUGGAGUGCCUGUAAAUCUAUCCUUCCAGCCACCAAGGAAUUCUUUUAAAGCUUUCCUCUUUUGUCAGGAAUAAGAGAGUGUUCAUUUUCAACUAGACCACAUAGAAAUUAUGAUUCAACAGCAGUGUGUAUUUAAUUAGAGCAAUCUCACUUGAAUUUAAUUACCUAAUGAAUUAUUUGUUUAGAAGGUAGAAUGUCUUGUUUGCAGAGUACAGUGUAGACCUCUGAUAAGAACUUCUGUUAUAAGGACAUUAUGGUUGAAAAGCAGUCCCGUAUUAAGGUUUACAUUUUAACUCUUUGUGUCGGUAACUGUUACUGUACUAAUCAAACAGAAACCCCGUGCUCAUCUGAAGGAUGUUGGAGGGCGCCCGCAUCAUUCUAGCCAGGCAGAGGUCUGUUCUGUUAUGUGCGCAUGUCCCUUUGGGAAUUAAUGUUCCUUAACUUUUUGUCAUAUAGGUCUAUUUUUAAACUUACUUCAUUUCUGUUUCAGUAACAGGUCUUUUUUUGCUAGUGUGAGAUGACAGCUGUCUAUUAGAGGACUCAUUUUAUGAUUUGUAUUUGCAAUGAAGUGGCACAUCCUUCAGGAACACUCCAGCCCAGCCCCUCCGGGGCCCUGAGGCAUCCACACCAGCAGCAGGACGACUUUCCCAGACUGCAGUGCUCAGGCUGGCGGACUAAAAAGACACCUUCUGAGAACUGGCGUCCAUGCCGUCUGAAUCACAAUGGCUCAAAUUAAGAGGAUGAAACUGCCAGAUCCUGACGUCGUUUAAUUAAAGCUACCCUCAUUAGGGACACGAGAGGAAAGUGGAGCCCUUUUAAAGCGACUUCAAUGAUGGCUGCCAAGUAGAGAUUUAUCCUGACUUUUCUAAGUUAAUCACACUCUGGGUUUCUCGAGCCGCUUUCAUCCAGGAUUCUGCACUUGAGUUACUUGCAACCUCCCCCUGAGUCAGGUGCUAUCGACUGUGCUAGAGCAAAGAAGGAGGCAAAGCCUGGGGGACAGAACUCUGUAUUGAAAGGGCACACGUCGGGGUAGAUUUUGAUACAGGAACUAAGUCCGGAGGGGAAGUGCUCUGCUACCUUCUGCAAGCCAAAGGCAGCGCUGGAUCUGGUGGUGGUGAUCCUGCUGGUAACCACCCUCCUCCCACCUCUCAGCUCCGCCUUUGCUCAUGCCCUGUUGUCAGGAGGGCCCUGAACAUGUGUGGCCCAGAGACCUGGCCUCUCUGUGCUUUCAAUGGACCAGUGUCCCAGCUGGAGAAGUGAGAGCGUUCUCCUAUCACAUUGGCAACAGACAACCUACCUCCAUCAGCCGCCUCUCCACCACCGGGGACCCGGCACAGAGACUGGUGCUGAGUCAGUGCGAUUGUCAAACGAAAGGUGAAUGGAAGGGCCUUCUUGCCCCUGCACUGGGAGGCUGCAGCCCAUCUCCUUAUGCCAGACUCUUACCCUUUUGUCAGCUUCUUUAGUGGUCAAGAGAGUGUCUCCAACUGCUCCAGUGGAAUUAAUUCCCCUUCAGGGACCCUUCAUUAAAUACUAAGAUCUCUGUUGCAAUGUUGAUGAUAGUCUACUUUCCAGCUAGCUAUUUGCAGAAGUGUGAAUGUAUCAGUUUGGGUUCGUUCAACUGUAAACAAAAUAAUAUCUGACUAGUCCUGGCUUAAGCAAUAAAAUCUCUGACUAGUCCUGGCUUAAGCAGAAAAGUUGCUCUGUUGUCCCACAUAAGAAGCUGGAGGGGUGCAGUUCACAGUUUGGGGCAGCAGCUCCCUCGUAUCCACAAUGCCCAGGCUCUGUCUUUUUUCCUGCUCUGAUAGGCAUAGCUUGUUGAUGUUGUCUCAUGGCUUCAAUAAGGCUGCCACAGCUCCAAGCGUCACAUCCCUACACAGACACAUUAAAAUAGGGAGAAAGGUAGGCAGAAGAAAAGGGAUUUACUCAUAUCUGAAAGAAUGACUAUUCUCAGGAGGCCCCCAGCAGAGCUGUUCGUAUGUCCCAAGGGCAGAACUAGGUCGAUGGUCAUGCCAGGUGCAAAUUAAGUUGGGGCAUUGAACAAUUUGGCAAAGGAAAUGGGUUGUCCUGAGCAACUUGGUGUUCCCAGCCUUGGCCCAGGCUGCGCACAUUCCUGCCUGUGGUGGUCCGUAGGUCUGCUCACACAUUCUCAACCUGUCCUUCCAGGCAGAUGGUGGGUGGCUCUUCCUCACUCGCUUGAGCCUGGAUGUGGCUGUGGGACUUCGGGAGCAGUGGCCCGUGAGCAGAGGAACACAUAUCACUCCCUAGAGCAGCUUUAAGGGCUGGUGCUUGAUCCAGAUGCUGAGAUGAAGCCUCCACCGACCUGGGGACCUCAGUGAGGAAGGAGAGUGGAGGCCCCGUGUCCUCUUGAUGGGCAUGUUGUACAAACGAGAAAGAAACCUCUGCUGUGAGAGGUCACU